rnacentral:lncRNA from 10 species
GAAGGGCUGCUGGAGCGCGGCCAGAGCGGACGCCGAGGCCGAGGAGGCGCCGAGAGCGAGUGAGAGCUGCUAGCCAGUUGUCACCUCUCACAGAGAGGUCCACAUUUGCUGAAAUGUAACUCUUAUCUCAUGCACUGGGAGUGAUGAACUUCACUAGGAAAUCAUCGUUCUUUCUGGUGCCUAUUGACUUCUCACAUUGUUGCCACUAUAACGCGGAUACAAGCUGAAACUCACAAUUGUUAUGUUUUGAAACUUGCUAAGGAAUUAGACGAUAUAAGCUGCAGCUCAGAAUCAGAGGUAGGUUCAGAAUUAACAAAGUUUUGUGGUGGUGGUUCUUUGCUUUGACACAGAUUCAAUGUAAUAAAAUUUGUACCACCUUUAGGCAAAAUUGAGACCAA